rnacentral:lncRNA from 1 species
CCUUGGCCGGCUGGAAUGUCACAGAAACCAAUGUCAAAUAAAUACAGGGCUUGCACUCCAUGUUGCAAAAAUAAGCAUGUCCAUUUGCUUGAAAGAAAAAAAAAAAAGUCUUUCAGAUGAGGGAACAUUUUCCAGUCAAUCACACAGCAGCAAAGUCAUCCUGUUGAAUUUGUGACUCACAGGCUCUCUGUGUCAAUAGACAGAGAGUGAGCCCAGCGUUAUGACUUCAGUGGGAGAUGAAGCAGAAGCUGGGAUGAGGCAGGGCUGGCUUUAAAGCAGAGCCCUGGGCUCUGACAAUAAAUAGCGGAGGAAAGUCUGACCACUCACAGGGAGCUCUUGAGGGAGGCCACCCUGGUCCGAAGUGCAUCUUACUUCUAACGUCUGCGUGGGCUCUAGCAAAGGAUCUAGCGGAAAAUACGGUUCAGGGAGUGUGUGAAGCCUGGGCCAACGCAGAGAACGAAGAGAAGACGUGGAGGUUUGUACACGCUUUCCAACCACCACCCGCUCACUCCAGCCCACUCUCCUGGGACCUGGGGAGAGGGAAAAAUUGGGGCAGAUCCUGAUAAAAGUUCAGUGAACAGACCAGUAUUUGCUGCUUAACCUCAGCGGUGUAGGAGAGCUUGGUUACUGCACAUUUCUCGCCAACACCGGGUAUCACGUGACUUUCAAUUUUAGCAGUUUUCCUGAGUCCAGGGAUGUCGCUUGAGGGUUUUAAUUUGCAUUUACGUGAUGCACCUUUUCAUAUGUCUAUUAGCCAUUUGGCCAUAGUGUGU